UACCAGCACCCCGAGUGGUCGGGACGAUUAUUGGGCCUAAAGCGUCCGUAGCCGGUUCUACAAGUCUUCCGUUAAAUCCACCUGCUUAACAGAUGGGCUGCGGAGGAUACUAUAGAGCUAGGAGGCGGGAGAGGCAAGCGGUACUUAGUGGGUAGGGGUAAAAUCCGUUGAUCCAUUGAAGACCACCAGUGGCGAAGGCGGCUUGCCAGAACGCACUCGACGGUGAGGGAUGAAAGCUGGGGGAGCAAACCGG
rnacentral:rRNA from 1 species